ACGAGAACGACGUUAGAGUCGCCUCUUACAAGAGAUGGCUUCGUCGUCCGACUGGCAGGAGAGGCGUCCGUCGGGACCGAGGUGGUCGGCCCAGUUGCUGCGGCCCUCGCGGAAGAGGACGGUGCGACCGGUGAGGCUGUCGACCAGACCGG
rnacentral:SRP_RNA from 1 species